rnacentral:rRNA from 1 species
GACAGAGGGUGCAAACGUUGCUCGGAAUUACUGGGCGUAAAGCGCGUGUAGGUGGCCACGCAAGUCAGGUGUGAAAGCCCAGGGCUCAACCCUGGAAGUGCACAUGACACUACGUGGCUGGAGUACUGAAGAGGAGAGCGGAAUUCCCGGUGUAGAGGUGAAAUUCGUAGAUAUCGGGAGGAACACCAGUGGCGAAGGCGGCUCUCUGGGCAGAUACUGACACUGAGGCGCGACAGCGUGGGGAGCAAACAGG